AGGCGGGCAGCCCGCGACUGCUCCCUCCUGCCCGCUUCCUGGAGCAGGAACUGGGGCGCCAGCCUCAAACCCGACGCUUAACGCGCACCGGCCUGCGACGAGCAGGGGCUGCUUGGAGCCCGCGCGGCGCCGUCUUAGAAACCCAUCCUCCUCCACUACCAGAUGUUGAGCUUCUUCAGGAUCAGUCCCUUGGCAGUGAUAUCAGCAAAAAUGGCGAGUAAGGAACUCCAAGGACAUGUACGGCCGCAUAAACAGCAAAGAAGUUGGCAGAAGUUGGCAGAACCAAGUUUAUGUGAACUCUGGGAACUAGUCAAACAUUACAGUAACCAGACAAAUACUUAAUCAAGAAACAGGUUUUUGAAGCUCAAUAGAAGGGCUUUGUGUCAUUUAAACUUAUAAUGGCCCCAUUUCCUCAUUCUCAGUUCAGUGGCAGUUUUGAAGAUAAUCAACAUUUCUAGUGUAGAUUCCUGGUGCCAGAGAGAGGACGACCUUGUCCUCCAAGACUUGUGAUAGUUUGUUUUAAACUUUCUAUUAGCUCCCUGAAGCACUGGUGCAAAGAAAGACUUCUGUGUUUCACCUAACCCAGAACUCUUCUGAGGCAACGAGGUGACUGCUCAAGGGGCAUUUGUCAAAAACAUUUAAAGGAAAAUUUAUUAGCUGCUGCCAACUAGGAAGACAUAAAAAUUGGGGCAACCAAUAGACACACAAAAUCGUAGGAGGGAAGACUAAAGAGUGAGAUACCUUGGAGAAUAAAGUCUUUGAAAAUUUCCCGCGUAUUCCUGAGAAUCUAAAAGAGCACAUGCAUGCACUAAAGUAGAUUUGUAAUUUGCACAGCUGAAUGUUGAAGGUGUGGCAAAGACUGAAAGUUUUUAUUUAUUUAUUUUUUGGUCCUAGGCAUUUAAGGAAAUCUCUGUUGAAUCACUAGUUGACCUCUAAGCAAACAAAAAUAUCAAUGGCCACACACAGGAAUACAAAGUUUACAAAAUUAGUUCAGAAAAGUCAUUAAACAACAGCAACCAAAACAAGUAGCAACAACAAACUCUAAGGAAGGAGGAAAAUCUGAUUUCUAGAUUUGCCACAUUAUAAUAAAAUGUCCAGUUUUCAACAAAAAUUACAAAGCAGACAUAGAAUCGAGACAGUAUGGCCCAAUACCCAGGAAAAAAAAUUAAUAGAAACUGUCCUCAAGGAUGCACACAUAUUGGACUCACUAGACAAAGACUUUCCAUUAACUAUUAAAUAUUUAAAUAUGCUGCAAGAGCUAAAGGAAACCAUAGACAAAGAACUAAAAGAAAUCAAGAAAGCAAUGUCUCACCAAAUAGAGAAUAUCAGUAAAGAGAUUGAAAUUACAAAUAGCAACCAAAUAGAAAUUCUGGAAUGGAAGAGUACAAUAACUGAAACUAAGAAUUCACUGGAGGAGUUCAGCAGCAGAUACGAAUAGUCAGAAGAAAGAAUCAGCAGACUUCAAGAUAGGUCAAUUAAGAUUACCCAAUUCGAAGAGCAGAAAGGAAAAAAUACAGAAAAAUGAAUAGAGCCCGAGACCAGUGGGACAACGUCAAGCAAAUCAAGAUAUGCAUAAUGAGCAUCCCAGAAGGAGCGGGGAGAGAGAGAGGGGACAAAAGAAUAUUUGAAGAAAUAAUGGUCAAAAACUUUCGAAAUUUGAUGAAGGAUUUGAAUCUAGAUGCCCUGGAAGCUCAACAAAUAAAAGGAUAAACUCAGACCCACACCAAGACAUAUAAUCACACUGUCAAAAGUCAUAGACAAAGAAUCCUGAAGUGAGAAGCGAGUCUUACAUUCAGGGUCCUUAAUAAGAUUAACUUGAUUUUUUUUCACCAGAAACCGUGGAAGCCAGGAGGGAGGGAGUCAGAUGACAUAUUCAAGAGUUUAAAGAAAAACUGUCAGCCAAUAAUUCGAUAUUCAGCAAAAUUAUCCUUCACAAGUGAAAGAGAAAUAAGACGUUCUCAAAAUAAAAAGUUUGUCACUAGAAUACCUGCCUUACAAGAAAUACUAAAGAGAGUUCUUCAUCUUGAAGAGAAACUGACAGUAACUUGAAUCCAUGUGAAAUAAAAAACACCGUUAGAGGUAACUAGGUAGAUAUAAAAGGGUUACUGUAUUUUGGAUUAGUAACUAUGAUUUAAAAGAACAGAAAAAGCAAUUAUAAGUCUACAUUAUCGAGCACACAAUGCAUAAAGAUAAUUUAUAAUAACAUAAGAGGGUAAGGAUGAAGCCUAGGAGCAAACAGUUUUUUUACUAUUGAAACUGAGUCAGUUUUUAUCCAAAUACAUUGUUGUAAGUUCAUUAUAAUCCUGAGGGUAACUAUUGAGAGAAUAACUAAAAAUUAUGUAGUAAAAUAAAUGAGAAAGGAAUCAAAAUGUAAUCUAACAAAUGAAGUAGUGGAGGAUUUGGGCAACAAAAAAAAUUACAACAUGAAAAACAAAUGGCAAAGUAAAAAUUUCCUUGUCACUGAUUACAUUAAAUGGAAAUUCAUGAAACUAAUUAGCAGGCAGAGAUUGGCAAAAUGAACUUUUCCAAUUCUAACUACAUCCUGUGUAUAAGCGAUUCAGUUUAGAACCAAAGACAAAUGGGUUAAAAGUGAAAAGAUGGGAAAAGAUACUCCAAGAUAUCUCAAGUGUAUGUGGAACAGUCUCCAGCAUAGAAUAUAUGUCCACAAAACAAGGCUUACUAUAUUUUAAAAGGUUAAAAUCUACCAAGUAUCAUCUCUGAGCACAAUGGAAUGAAACUAGAAAUAGCACACCUUAAACCACCAAUGGGUCAAAGAAGUCAAAAGAGAAAUUAGAAAAUAAUUUUAGAUAAUUUUUCUUUUAAUAAAAGCAGUAACGGAAUGCAGCAAAAGCAGUGCCCAGAGGGAAAUUUAUAGCUAUAAAUGCCUACAUUUAAAAAGAUCUAGAAUCAGUAACCUAACCUUCCAAAGUAAACCCAAAGCUAGCAGAAAGAAGGAAAUAAUAAAGAUUAGAGGAGAGGUAAAUAAACCAUAGAAAACAAUGCAACCAAAAGCUGGUUCUUUGAAAAGAUUGAUAAAAUUAACAAACCUUUUUUGACCAAGAAAAAAAGAUUCAAAACUAAAAUUAGGAAUUAAGGGGGGCAUUAUCACCAACCUUACAGAAAUAAAAAGAAUUAUAAGAACACUAUUAAUUGUAUGCCAACCAGUUAGAUUAGUUAGAUGAAAUGUAUAAAUUCCUAAAGACAAACUAUGAAAACUGGCUCAAGAAAUAGAAUAGUCUUAGAACAGUACAGGUAAAUAGAUUCAAUCAAUAACCAAAAGACUUCCAUCAAAGGAAAGCUAGAACCAUAUGACUUCACUGGUGAGUUCAAUCAAAGAUUUAAAAACAUCAGUCCUUUCCAAACUUUUACCAAAAAAAAAAAAAAAAAAA